GGGCAGAUGAAACAUUUGCUGUAAUAAUUAGGGCAGUCUAAACCUUUGCUGUAUUAAGACCACGCAUGUGUCCCCAGAUCUAGUUCUUUCCUUAGGUCUGGUUUUAUAAAUGCUGAGGAUAAAC